rnacentral:rRNA from 1 species
UACGUAGGUGGCAAGCGUUGUUCGGAAUUACUGGGCGUAAAGGGCUCGUAGGCGGCCAACUAAGUCGGAUGUGAAAUCCCCAGGCUUAACCUGGGAACUGCAUCCGAUACUGGAUGGCUUGAAUUCGGGAGAGGGAUGCAGAAUUCCAGGUGUAGCGGUGAAAUGCGUUGAUAUCCUAAGGAACACCGGUGGCGAAAGCGGCAUACUGGGUAUUUUCUGACGCUCAUGCACGAAAGCUAGGGUAGCGAACGGG